rnacentral:rRNA from 1 species
CCUACGGGCGGCAGCAGUGAGGAAUAUUGGUCAAUGGUCGGGAGACUGAACCAGCCAAGCCGCGUGAGGGAUGAAGGUACAGAGUAUCGUAAACCUCUUUUGUCAGGGAACAAAGGCGGGGACGUGUCCCCGGAUGAGUGUACCUGAAGAAAAAGCAUCGGCUAACUCCGUGCCAGCAGCCGCGGUAAUACGGAGGAUGCGAGCGUUAUCCGGAUUUAUUGGGUUUAAAGGGUGCGCAGGCGGUCUGUUAAGUCAGCGGUCAAAGCCCGGGGCUCAACCCCGGCCCGCCGUUGAAACUGGCAGUCGCGAGUUGGAGAGAAGUAUGCGGAAUGCGCGGUGUAGCGGUGAAAUGCAUAGAUAUCGCGCAGAACUCCGAUGGCGAAGGCAGCAUGCCGGCUCCACACUGACGCUGAGGCACGAAAGCGUGGGUAUCGAACAGGAUUAGAUACCCUUGUAGUC